rnacentral:rRNA from 1 species
AACGAACGCUGGCGGCAGGCUUAACACAUGCAAGUCGAGCGCAUCCUUCGGGGUGAGCGGCGGACGGGUGAGUAACGCGUGGGAACGUGCCCUCUUCUACGGAAUAGCCUCGGGAAACUGAGAGUAAUGCCGUAUACGCCCGCAAGGGGAAAGAUUUAUCGGAGGAGGAUCGGCCCGCGUUGGAUUAGGUAGUUGGUGGGGUAACGGCCUACCAAGCCGACGAUCCAUAGCUGGUUUGAGAGGAUGAUCAGCCACACUGGGACUGAGACACGGCCCAGACUCCUACGGGAGGCAGCAGUGGGGAAUCUUGGACAAUGGGGGCAACCCUGAUCCAGCCAUGCCGUGUGAUCGAUGAGGGCCUUAGGGUUGUAAAGAUCUUUCAGCUGGGAAGAUAAUGACGGUACCAGCAGAAGAAGCCCCGGCUAACUCCGUG